rnacentral:rRNA from 1 species
UGGGGAAUUUUGGACAAUGGGCGAAAGCCUGAUCCAGCAAUGCCGCGUGUGUGAAGAAGGCCUUCGGGUUGUAAAGCACUUUUGUCCGGAAAGAAAUCCUUGGCUCUAAUACAGUCGGGGGAUGACGGUACCGGAAGAAUAAGCACCGGCUAACUACGUGCCAGCAGCCGCGGUAAUACGUAGGGUGCAAGCGUUAAUCGGAAUUACUGGGCGUAAAGCGUGCGCAGGCGGUUUGCUAAGACCGAUGUGAAAUCCCCGGGCUCAACCUGGGAACUGCAUUGGUGACUGGCAGGCUAGAGUAUGGCAGAGGGGGGUAGAAUUCCACGUGUAGCAGUGAAAUGCGUAGAGAUGUGGAGGAAUACCGAUGGCGAAGGCAGCCCCCUGGGCCAAUACUGACGCUCAUGCACGAAAGCGUGGGGAGCAAACAGGAUUAGAUACCCUGGUAGUCCACGCCCUAAACGAUGUCAACUAGUUGUUGGGGAUUCAUUUCCUUAGUAACGUAGCUAAUGCGUGAAGUUGACCGCCUGGGGAGUACGGUCGCAAGAUU